CCUACGGGUGGCAGCAGUGGGGACUAUUGCACAAUGGGGGGAACCCUGAUGCAGUGACGCCGCGUGAGUGAAGAAGUAUUUCGGUAUGUAAAGCUCUAUCAGCAGGGAAGAAGAUGACGGUACCUGACUAAGAAGCCCCGGCUAACUACGUGCCAGCAGCCGCGGUAAUACGUAGGGGGCAAGCGUUAUCCGGAUUUACUGGGUGUAACGGGAGCGUAGACGGGAUGGCAAGUCUGGAGUGAAAGCCCGGGGCCCAACCCCGGGACUGCUUUGGAAACGGCAAUGCUAGAGUGCUGGAGAGGUAAGCGGAAUUCCUAGUGGAGCGGUGAAAUGCGGAGAUAUUAGGAGGAACACCAGGGGCGAAGGCGGCUUACUGGACAGUAACUGACGUUGAGGCUCGAAAGCGUGGGGAGCAAACAGGAUGAGAUACCCGGGUAGUC
rnacentral:rRNA from 1 species